GGGGAAUUUUCCGCAAUGGGCGCAAGCCUGACGGAGCAAUACCGCGUGAGGGAGGAAGCCUUUUGGGGUGUAAACCUCUUUUAUUAGGGAAGAAUAGAUGACGGUACCUAAUGAAUCAGCAUCGGCUAACUCCGUGCCAGCAGCCGCGGUAAUACGGAGGAUGCAAGCGUUAUCCGGAAUUAUUGGGCGUAAAGCGUCCGUAGGUGGCUUAUCAAGUCUUUUGUCAAAUCGUGCAGCUUAACUGCAUACGGGCGGAGGAAACUGAUGAGCUAGAGUGCGAUAGGGGUCACAGGAAUUCCCAGUGUAGCGGUGAAAUGCGUAGAUAUUGGGAAGAACACCAGCGGCGAAAGCGUGUGACUGGGUCUGCACUGACACUGAGGGACGAAAGCUAGGGGAGCGAAAGGGAUUAGAUACCCCUGUAGUCCUAGCCGUAAACGAUGACAACUAGGUGUGGUUCGUAUCGACCCGAGCCGUGCCGUAGCCAACGCGUUAAGUUGUCCGCCUGGGGAGUACGCACGCAAGUGUGAAACUCAAAGGAAUUGACGGGGGCCCGCACAAGCGGUGGAGUAUGUGGUUUAAUUCGAUGCAACGCGAAGAACCUUACCAAGGCUUGACAUCCUCGGAAUCCUUGUGAAAGCAGGGAGUGCCUUCGGGAGCCGAGAGACAGGUGGUGCAUGGCUGUCGUCAGCUCGUGUCGUGAGAUGUUGGGUUAAGUCCCGCAACGAGCGCAACCCACGUUUUUAGUUGCCAGCAUUCAGUUGGGCACUCUAGAGAGACUGCCGGUGACAAACCGGAGGAAGGUGUGGAUGACGUCAAGUCAGCAUGCCCCUUACGCCUUGGGCUACACACGUACUACAAUGCGUUGGACAAAGAGCCGCCAGCCAGCGAUGGUGAGCUAAUCUCAUAAACCAACGCUCAGUUCAGAUUGCAGGCUGCAACUCGCCUGCAUGAAGGCGGAAUCGCUAGUAAUCGCAGGUCAGCAUACUGCGGUGAAUACGUUCCCGGGCCUUGUACACACCGCCCGUCACACCAUGGGAGUUGGUCACGCCCGAAGUCGUUACUCUAACCGUUCGCGGAGGAGGAUGCCGAAGGUGGGGCUGAUGACUGGGGUGAAGUCGUAACAAGGUAGCCGUACCGGAAGGUGUGGCUGGAUCACCUCCU
rnacentral:rRNA from 1 species